rnacentral:rRNA from 1 species
CGGUGGAUGAUGUGGAUUAAUUCGAUGCAACGCGAAAACCUUACCUACCCUUGACAUGUCUGGAACCUUGCUGAGAGGCGAGGGUGCCUUCGGGAGCCCAGAACACAGGUGCUGCAUGGCUGUCGUCAGCUCGUGUCGUGAGAUGUUGGGUUAAGUCCCGCAACGAGCGCAACCCUUGUCAUUAGUUGCCAUCAUUUAGUUGGGCACUCUAAUGAGACUGCCGGUGACAAACCGGAGGAAGGCGGGGAUGACGUCAAGUCAGCAUGGCCUUUAUAUCCUGGGCUACACACACGCUACAAUGGUCUGUACAAUAGGUUGCCAAGCCGCGAGGCGGAGCCAAUCCUUAAAGCAGGCCUCAGUUCAGAUUGUAGGCUGCAACUCGCCUGCAUGAAGAUGGAGUUGCUAGUAACCGCAGGUCAGCUAUACUGCGGUGAAUACGUUCCCGGGUCUU